AACGAACGCUGGCGGCAUGCCUAACACAUGCAAGUCGAACGAUACCUUCUGGUCUGGUCGCUCCCGGGUGCGUAACGCGUGGGAACCUGCCCUUAGGUUCGGAAUCACUUCCCGAAAGUGGUUCUCAUACCGGAUUAUCUCUUCGGACCAAAGAUUUAUCGCCUUUGGAUGGGCCCGCGUUGGAUUAGCUAGUUGGUAGGGUAAAAGCCUACCAAGGCGACGAUCAAUAGCUGGUCUGAGAGGAUGAUCAGCCACACUGGGACUGAGACACGGCCCAGACUCCUACGGGAGGCAGCAGUGGGGAAUAUUGGACAAUGGGGGAAAGCCUGAUCCAGCAAUGCCGCGUGAGUGAUGAAGGCUUUAGGGUUGUAAAGCUCUUUUACACGGGAAGAUAAUGACAGUACCGGGAGAAUAAGCGCCGGCUAACUCCGUG
rnacentral:rRNA from 1 species